UCGGGAAUCUUCCGCCAUGGACGCAAGUCUGACGGAGCAACGCCGCGUGAGUGAAGAAGGAUUUCGGUUCGUAAAACUCUGUUGUUAGAGAAGAACAGCGCAUAGAGUAACUGUUAUGCGUGUGACGGUAUCUAACCAGAAAGCCACGGCUAACUACGUGCCAGCAGCCGCGGUAAUACGUAGGUGGCAAGCGUUGUCCGGAUUUAUUGGGCGUAAAGCGAGCGCAGGCGGUCAAUUAAGUCUGAUGUGAAAGCCCCCGGCUCAACCGGGGAGGGUCAUUGGAAACUGGUUGACUUGAGUGCAGAAGAGGAGAGUGGAAUUCCAUGUGUAGCGGUGAAAUGCGUAGAUAUAUGGAGGAACACCAGUGGCGAAGGCGACUCUCUGGUCUGUAACUGACGCUGAGGCUCGAAAGCGUGGGUAGCAAACAGG
rnacentral:rRNA from 1 species